rnacentral:sRNA from 1 species
GCUAUGGCAACCAACUUGCUACGUCAUGGCUUCAAAGUCACUGUUUGGAACAGAACCCUCUCCAAGUGUGAAGAACUUGUGCAACAUGGUGCUUCUGUUGGAGAAACGCCAGCUACUGUAGUCAAGAAAUGCAAGUAUACAAUUCCA